AACGAACGCUGGCGGCAGGCCUAACACAUGCAAGUCGAGCGAAGCCUUCGGGCUUAGCGGCGGACGGGUGAGUAACGCGUGGGAACGUGCCCUUUGCUACGGAAUAGCCCCGGGAAACUGGGAGUAAUACCGUAUUUGCCCUUCGGGGGAAAGAUUUAUCGGCAAAGGAUGGGCUCGCGUUGGAUUAGGUAGUUGGUGGGGUAAUGGCCUACCAAGCCGACGAUCCAUAGCUGGUUUGAGAGGAUGAUCAGCCACACUGGGACUGAGACACGGCCGAGUCUCCGACGGGAGGCAGCAGUGGGGAAUUUUCGACAAUGAGGGAAACCCUGAUCUAGCCAUGACGCGUGGUCGAUGAAGGCCUUAGGGUUGUAAAGAUCUUUCAGUGGGGAAGAUAAUGACUGUACCCACAGAAGAAGCCCCGGCUAACUCCGUGCCAGCCGCCGCCGUAA
rnacentral:rRNA from 1 species